UCCUACGGGAGGCAGCAGUGGGGAAUAUUGCGCAAUGGGCGGAAGCCUGACGCAGCGAGCCGCGUGAGGGAUGAAGGCCUUCGGGUUGUAAACCUCUGUCUGCUCUGACGAAGCUGCCGGGUUUUCUCGGUGGUGACGGUAGGGGUGGAUGAAGCGCCGGCCAACUACGUGCCAGCAGCCGCGGUAAGACGUAGGGCGCGAGCGUUGUCCGGAUUUAUUGGGCGUAAAGAGCUCGUAGGCGGCCUGUUGCGUCAUCCGUGAAAUCCUGCGGCUUAACUGUGGGUUUGCGGUUGAUACGGGCAGGCUGGAGUUCGGUAGGGGAGACUGGAAUUCCUGGUGUAGCGGUGAAAUGCGCAGAUAUCAGGAGGAACACCGGUGGCGAAGGCGGGUCUCUGGGCCGAUACUGACGCUGAGGAGCGAAAGCGUGGGGAGCGAACAGGAUUAGAUACCCUGGUAGUCCAUGCUGUAAACGUUGGGCGCUAGGUGUGGGGGCCCUUCCCGGGUUUCUGUGCCGUAGCUAACGCAUAAGCGCCCCNC
rnacentral:rRNA from 1 species